GGGCGGAGUUACGGCCCGCAUCAAACGAAGACAAGUGGAAGGGAGCACAAAGAUGAGAAAGGCCGUGCACCGAUGCUUAUGGCUCCAGAUAGUAAAAGUAAGGAAAGAGGAUGACAAAACCAAAGAAAAAUCAACAGAAACAUGAUAGGAAACCCAUGCUGAACAAAAACCUGGUGAGGCUUAAAAAAAACAAAAAGAGCAAAGAUAUAAUGAUGAUAACAUAAUAACAGAAAAAAGGAAUAUAAAAAGAAUCUUGACCCACAGGUUUUCAGUCAGCAUGUGAGUUUCCUAUGUCUUGCUCCUUUUUCCCCCCUGAUAAAAUCCCAAAAGGGCGGCAGAACGGUCCACAUCCCUCAAGCUUCCCUCACCCAGAAGAAGGCUGGUCACCGUGACCGUGGGCCGGCGGUGGUUGGACAGCUGACAUUUUUACUUAACUGCACCCUUUUGGUCAUUUUACGACCGUCACUGAGACACACACACACACACACACACACACACACACACACACACACACACAUGGAGCCCAUUUCUGCAGCACCAUGGCAACAUCAGCUAAAAACGUCUUUCUUCCGCCACCAUUAAAGGAGGAAGUUAUGUUACCAAGAAUUUUCAUCAGCACCACAAACAUCCUAGUGUUAUUUACACCCUUUGACAAUCUUAACUGCAGUGGAAAAUAUGUUCAACUGAAAUUAAACUGUAGUAUAUUUCCUGCUGUAAUUUUAAAAUAUGAUGCAACUAGACAUACUAUACGCGUCAAGAAGAAGAAG